rnacentral:rRNA from 1 species
CACUUCUAAGGAAGGCAGCAGGCGCGCAAAUUACCCAAUCCUGACUCAGGGAGGUAGUGACAAGAAAUAACAAUAAACCGGCUUAUGCCGGUUUAAUUGGAAUGAGUACAAUUUAAACAUCUUAACGAGGAACAAUUGGAGGGCAAGUCUGGUGCCAGCAGCCGCGGUAAUUCCAGCUCCAAUAGCGUAUACUAAAGUUGUUGCAGUUAAAAAGCUCGUAGUUGGAUUUCUGUGGGGACGGAGCGGCCGGCCGCAACACGCGGUUCGAGCUAGCGCUUUCCCUACAUCCUGCCGCGAACCGUGCUACCAUUAGUUUGGUGGCGCCGGGGAUCGGCUCGAUUACUUUGAGAAAAAUAGAGUGUUCAAAGCAGGCCACAUGCCUUGAAUAAGUUAGCAUGGAAUAAUAACUAAGGACUUCGGUUCUAUUUUGUUGGUGUUCGGGACUGAAGUAAUGAUUGAUAGGGACAGUUGGGGCGGUCUGUAUUCCAAAGCGAGAGGUGAAAUUCUUAGACCUUCGGAAGACAAACAGCUGCGAAAGCGUUCCGCAAGGAUGUUCCCUUUGAUCAAGAACGAAAGUUGGGGGAUCGAAGACGAUCAGAUACCGUCGUAGUCUCAACUAUAAACUAUACCAGCUAGGGAUCGGCCAACGUUAUUUCAAACCGACUUGGUCGGCACCUUAUAAGAAAUCAAAGCAUCUGGGUUCCGGGGGGAGUAUGGUCGCAAGGCUGAAACUUAAAGGAAUUGACGGAAGGGCACCACCAGCCGUGGAGCCUGUGGCUUAAUUUGACUCAACACGGGAAAACUUACCAGGUCCAGACAUAGCAAGGAUUGACAGACUGAUAGCUCUUUCUCGAUUCUAUGGGUGGUGGUGCAUGGCCGUUCUUAGUUGGUGGAGUGAUUUGUCUGGUUAAUUCCGUUAACGAACGAGACCCCAGCCUGCUAAAUAGCGCGCGUGAGCUUUGCUCGCGGCGAGCUUCUUAGAGGGACUAUGAUGCGCGAUAGCACAUGGAAGUUUGGGGCAAUAACAGGUCUGUGAUGCCCUUAGAUGUUCUGGGCCGCACACGGGCUACACUGGCGCCUGCAACGAGCAUAUCAGCUGGCCCGAGAGGGUCUUGGCUAAUCUUUUGAACCGGCGCCGUGCUUGGGAUUGACCUUUGCAAUUGUUGGUCAUGCAACGAGGAAUGCCUUGUAAACGCGAGUCAUCAGCUCGCAUUGAAUACGUCCCUGCCCUUUGUACACACCGCCCGUUGCUCCUACCGAUGAAUGUUCCGAUGAAAUUUUCGGAGAGCACCUGUGAACUUGGCUCUGCCUUGCGAACGGGAGGCUCAAAGUCACUUAAAUCUGAACAUUUCGAGG